GAAAUCUGUGACCCUGCAAUUGGAGGAGAGAUUAUCAUGUGCCCACUUUGUGACCGAGACUGUGAAUACUGGAGACUAAAUACCACCUGCGAGUCCUCACAGUAUUCCCAUCUGUUUGACAACGUGGCAACUCUUUUUUUUGCCAUUUUCAUGGGUAUAUGGGGUGAGUACGUUUGAUAAGUUUUAUGUUCAGCAGGAAGGAGAUCUUGGCAAAGCUACUGAGGGACACUGGAAGUGGGAAGAAGGGAAAUAAUGGCUUCACUUUAGUAUCCUGCCUCAGAUGCAGAAGUGACAAAUGAGUGAAAUUAAUUUAAAGUUACAGAAGAAUGAAGAUUUAAAAAGCCCAAGCAGACAUCUUGGAUACUGACACUAGAGGACAUGAACUAUUGAGCGAGGGUCCCCAGAAAUCAGUCACACAGCUGCUUUCGUGAGGCAAAAAGCCUUUAUUGCGGGGUCUUGACAACCCUUUUAUAAGCUUCUCUGAUCAGGUCACCCUGAUUGGUAGAAGGAACAAGACAAGCCGAUACAAGGUGUCACCUACGCUCCACCAAGGAUCUUUCAGCAGUGCAUCAGUGGCAGUUGGAAAAAAUCCAUUUAUUUUCCCCAUAAAUACAAAGCAUUAAUAUCUGGUUCAGGAAUA